rnacentral:tRNA from 1 species
GAGGCUUUGGCUUAAUUAAAGCGUUUGAGUUGCAAUCAUGAGAUGUGAAUUAAAGUUUCACAGGCCUU